rnacentral:tRNA from 1 species
GGCGCAGUUGGUAGCGCACUACGUUCGGGACGUAGGGGUCGCUGGUUCGAGUCCAGUC